ensembl:snRNA U6 U6 spliceosomal RNA
GUGCUCACUUUGGUAGCACAUAUACUAAAAUUGGAUUGAUUUGGAAAAUAUUAGCAUGUCCUCUGCCCAAGACUGACAUGCAAACCUGUGAAGUGUUCCAUAUUUUU